rnacentral:rRNA from 1 species
GACCUCGGAUCAGGUAGGGAUACCCGCUGAACUUAAGCAUAUCAAUAAACGGGAG